rnacentral:rRNA from 1 species
AGUGGAUGGGGAGCAACCUAGUUGUGCGUGUGUAAAGGUAGUGCCAAGAAAAGCGAUGAUCAUGUUGAAAAUCAAUUCCCGGUACCCGAAACCGACACAGGUGGGCAAGUAGAGAAUACUAAGGGGCGCGAGGUAACUCUCUCCAAGGAACUCGGCAAAAUGACCCCGUAACUUAGGGAGAAGGGGUGCCACCGAGAGGUGGUCGCAGUGAAGAGGCCCAGGCGACUGUUUAGCAAAAACAUAGGUCUCUGCAAACUCGAAAGAGGAGGUAUAGGGGCUGACGCCUGCCCAGUGCCGGAAGGUUAAAGAAGUUGGUCAGUUUUAGGAUGAAGCUAGCGACUGAAGCCCCGGUGAACGGCGGCCGUAACUAUAACGGUCCUAAGGUAGCGAAAUUCCUUGUCGGGUAAGUUCCGACCCGCACGAAAGGCGUAACGAUCUGGGCGCUGUCUCGGAGAGAGGCUCGGCGAAAUAGGAUUGUCUGUGAAGAUACGGACUACCUGCAUUUGGACAGAAAGACCCUAUGAAGCUUUACUAUAGCUUGGAAUUGUGUUCGGGCUUCCUGUGCGCAGGAUAGGUGGGAGGCGUAGAAGGUAUUCUUGUGGGGAUACUGGAGCCAACGGUGAGAUACCACUCUCAGGAGGCUAGAAUUCUAACUUAAUUAAGGACAGUUUCAGGUGGGUAGUUUGACUGGGGCGGUCGCCUCCAAAAAGGUAACGGAGGCGUACAAAGGUUCCCUCAGACUGGUUGGAAAUCAGUCGAAGAGUGCAAAGGCAGAAGGGAGCUUGACUGCGAGAAGUACAGUUCGAGCAGGGUGGAAACACGGUCUUAGUGAUCCGACGGUGCUGUGUGGAAGGGCCGUCGCUCAACGGAUAAAAGUUACUCUAGGAUAACAGGCUGAUCUCCCCCAAGAGUUCACAUCGACGGGGAGGUUUGGCACCUCGAUGUCGGCUCAUCGCAACCUGGGGCGGAAGUACGUCCCAAGGGUUGGGCUGUUCGCCCAUUAAAGCGGUACGUGAGCUCGGUUCAGAACGUCGUGAGACAGUUCGGUCCAUAUCCGAUGUAGGCGUGAGAAUAUUGAGAGGAGCCUUCCUUAGUACGAGAGGACCGGGAAGGACGCACCGCUGGUGUACCUGUUAUGAUGCCAAUUGUAAACGCAGGGUAGCCAAGUGCGGAGAGGAUAACCGCUGAAAGCAUCUAAGUGGGAAGCCCACCUCAAGAUGAGUAUUCUGGUGUAAGGUCACGGGAAGACGACCCGUAAAUAGGCACGAGGUGGAAGUGCAGAGAUGUAUGAAGCCGAAGUGUACUAAUAGACCGUCGGCUUGACCU